GUGUUAUAAGAAAGGAGAGAAGGUUAGCACUCCCCUUGAUAAGGACGGAAGAGACCUUCAUGGUCUUUAUAACACAUAUGAGGCAUGUCCCUCUUACUUUGAGGGCAGCUUAUAUUUUUC
rnacentral:ncRNA from 1 species